CUGUGUGUGUGUGUGUGAAAAGGGUGAGAAGGCUUACAAAGGUUUUGGGAGUUCAUAUUCCAUCCUACCUACUUAGACUUAAGGUAUCUAGGCAAUGACAUCUCUGGGAUUCAUCCCUUACUCCCCUUAAAAAAAAACUCACUUACAGACAUUUUUUUAAAUAAUGUGAUUGUCUGAAGGGUGUCCUGAGUUUGUUUAGCAGAUGGGAAUUCUGAGUUCUUCUAUGACUUAAUUUACAUAAAAGGAUCUAUACUUUUUUCUUACAUUGAGUUGAUAUUAGGAGAGUCUAAGGUUCUGAGUCAAGCAGAUCUGGAUCCAAAUCAAGCUUCAUUUAUUGGCUCAGGUAUCUCGGGCAGAUUACUCCAUAAUUUCCAUAGCUAUAGAAAAAGCACAUUGUGCCUGGUAGGGUGAUGGAGAGAGAGAGAAGCAUUUGUAUGAGAAUGCAUAUAAAGUGCUUAUCUUAGUGUCUGGAACCCAUCAUUAAAACUCUUCACCCUGUGUUAGCUAUUCACUCGUGUUUUCAUUAGUUAUAAUAGGCUGAAAUCUGUGGAGGUUUAAGAGAAACUGAAAUCAGGAUGGGUUUGUUGAGAUCCUUGGCAAAAACUGGCCAGCAGUGGCCCAAGCUUGAGCAGCUUUCUCUGGAGGAGCCUGGAGAAGAGAGGGCUUUGUGUAGCUGAGGUCAGCAGACACGCUGGUGCCUAUUGUAACAAUGAAGGUCUAAGGCAUUAGGACCAAAGCACUGGGAUUUCAAACCAGAUCAAGCCCCUGAAAGCUAAGGGGGGAAUUUCACGCCCACUCAGGGGACCACCUACUUGUUCAAGGAAUGAGUUACCAAAAUGGGACAAAGGUGCUGUGGGGUGAAACUCAACCCUGAGGCAUUCUGAUCACUGCCAAAUCCCCGUGGAGCGCUCAGUAUGGGGUUCAGGUUUCCCUCUCUCCAUCCCAAAUGAUUGGCCUUGCACCUGGCACCAUCUAUAGAACUGCCUUUCCCCUGAGACACUGACCAUUUUAUAGCAAGAGAAAGGGGUGAGUUCUUGCAUUAGGCUUUCUCAUCAUUUCUGUAAUGUAGGUCUGAAGCUCCCUCCUGCAGUCUUGGCAGGUUCCCUGUAUCUGGGCUGCUGCUGACAUGCACUGGAUCUCCCUGAUAGGCCUGAAGAUUGGUAUACACCUGUCUGCUUUGUCCCUACAAAAGGCUUAUGAAAAAUGGGUGUUAUUAACACACAGGGUCUCUUGGAAGUGAAGGGACUCUGACAAGGUAAAUAACUUGGAUUCAAAUACAGAAUCUAUUUUACUGUAUUCAGCAUUUUGGGUUGCCAGCACCUCCUGUUCUUAGUGGACCCCUGGCCCACUACUAGAUCAAACUAUUGGAGACUCUGGGGCCUAAAUUCAGCAGUUGCAUGAAUUCAAAUUCAGGUUCUAAUUUAUUUUACACUGCAACUGCCAGACAUAUGUGCUGGUUCCAGAGGAGGAACCUAGAGGGAGGUAACUUGCCCAUAUGUGUGUGUAAUU